AGCCCAUUGGGCAACAUCUUGCAAAAUUGAGAAUAUUUUCUCCAUGGCUUCAUCAAACAGAAUUUUCUUUUGUAAAGUGGCUUGACCCUCACAGCUAUGGCACAGAUAGCAGGGUCAUCAAAAGCUGCUCCAUUCUUCUGGAAGCUACAGAGAAAGGGAACCUGGAAACCUGGUAUGCUGGCAAAAAGGGGUCAUGGGUGGCAAAAUAAAAACAGAGAAGAUGUGGACCAUGUCAUCAUUUAAUGAAGGAAAGAACUGAAAAUUGUAUUUGAGAACAAAGACACUAAACUUACCACCAUGCCAAAAGUAGAAGAGAUAUGAGAAACUAAAUGAUCCCCACUUAGUAGGAAGCAUAAUAUUGCAUCAGAAAUAAAAUGGGAAUAAUUAUAGCACCUGCUUUAUUUGCAUUUUGUGACCAAUAAAUGAAAGAGUGUAUCUGCAAAGUUUUUACUUCAAGAACUCAAGGUACCAUGUAGUAAGAGCUGAACACACAGGAGCUGCCUUUGUUAUCAAGAUUUCUCACUAAUACAGCAUAUUCAAGAUAGAAUUCUUCAGAGCUAGUUUGCCCAGAGCACUUAGAGACCUCUAAGCCCUUAUAGCAGUGAUUCUGUCUUAUAAUAGUAACUAUGCCCCCCAAUGCCCCUGCACAGCAUCCAAAAUACCGCCAUUUGAAACUACAACUUUUGCAAAGACUAUUGAGGUUAAGGUGAUGUUUGAAGUGAUGAUGGUAGUAAAGAAAAUAGUGUUAGUAGUUAUUGUUACAGCAAUGUUUUUUCAUUGCUUUAACAAAAAUAUAUUGAAUGUCCAGUCAUAAAAAUAUUUGUAGUCAUUUAUUCAAAAGCACAUACUAUGUUAAUAUGACUAAUGAAGAAAUACGCUAGUGACCAUUAAAAUAAUGAGACUUAUUUAUUAACACAUGCUUAUUGAUAGCAUAUUAUAUGUCAGGAACUAUUUUAAGAAUACAGUAGAAAUCACUAUCUAGUAGGAAUGCAGACAGAGAUUAUUUAUCCAACAAAAAUAUAUAUAAUUAUAAAUUAUAAUGAAUAAUAAAAGAAACACACAGUAUUCUGAGAUCAGAAAACAAAUGAUUUAAUGUAAUUAAAAGAAUCUUUUCUAAGGAGAUGAGGUUUGAACUAAGGUGAAAGAUGAGUAGAAACAGC
rnacentral:lncRNA from 1 species